AACGAACGCUGGCGGCAGGCUUAACACAUGCAAGUCGAGCGCCCCGCAAGGGGAGCGGCAGACGGGUGAGUAACGCGUGGGAAUCUACCCAUCUCUACGGAAUAACGCAUGGAAACGUGUGCUAAUACCGUAUACGUCCUUCGGGAGAAAGAUUUAUCGGAGAUGGAUGAGCCCGCGUUGGAUUAGCUAGUUGGUGGGGUAAAGGCCUACCAAGGCGGCGAUCCAUAGCUGGUCUGAGAGGAUGAUCAGCCACACUGGGACUGAGACACGGCCCAGACUCCUACGGGAGGCAGCAGUGGGGAAGAUUGGACAAUGGGCGCAAGCCUGAUCCAGCCAUGCCGCGUGAGUGAUGAAGGCCCUAGGGUUGUAAAGCUCUUUCACCGGUGAAGAUAAUGACGGUAACCGGAGAAGAAGCCCCGGCUAACUUCGUGCCAGCAGCCGCCGUAACAC
rnacentral:rRNA from 1 species